GAAGGCCUGUGGCUCAGUCGUAGAGCAUCUGCUUUGCAUGCAAAAGGUCCCAGAUUCAGUCCCUCGCAUCUCCA